GCCGUGCUCGUCACCGCCGCUACGUGAGGGAGGAUCUCCUCGUCCUCUUUAGUUUAAGCUGGGUUUUAUAUGUUUUCGUUUCGUUUGGAGUUUCUUAGAAUCCUUGGAGUUUGGAUCUUGUGUUGAUAAGUUUGUAGGGUUGUGAAGUCUUUUGGGUUGAUUCUGUGCUUAUAUCCCCUGAAUAGUUGACGAUUGGACUGUGUUCUGCGCUUGGAGUGUGGUUCUGUCUCUUUGCUUGAUUCAGGUGGAGUUUUGGUUCGGAAAGUUGGGUUCAUUGACGAGUCUGGCGCCAUAUGUCAGGUCGAGGACCUGUUGACGGUGCGGUGUAGCUGCUGGGAGCAGUGCAGGUGCUUUCGCUGACGUUGUUUUUGGGCUUUCUUCAACUCUUGUUCCUCUGCUGCUCAUCGUUUCUGCAGGGAGUUUAUUUCUCGGUGAGUCGUUUUGUCGACUGAGUGUUUCUGUGUGCGCCUUCAGGUGCGUAUGUCCAGAGAUUGGAUCCAUUUCUCCAGUGUUGGUUCUUCAGUUGGUGCAUUCAAGUUUGUGGCUUUUCCUAAUUGGUUCUGGUUUGGUGUGGAGUUGUAUGUCUCUGUGGGUUUUUUCUGCAACGGUGAAGCGUCCCGAGGAUCUUUGGUUUGUUAUUGGUUUCUCUCCGGUGAAAAGGUCUAAUUUGAGGUGUGUAAGUCCUCGUUCUGCUGUGUGUUCUGGCGGUUGGGCUUGUUUCUGUUUUUUGGAUUGGUUGCCAAGCAUUUCAAGUGUCGGGGUCUAUCCUCAUUGGAGGCCCAUCCUCGUUUCGUCUGGCUGUCUCCGUGUAAGCUUCCGGCGGUUUAAGUUUCAUGGUUACUGUCUUCUCUUUCCUUUCUCUUGAACUUUCAGCCUCUUGGGAAUUUAAGUUUUGAAGUCAACUUGGUUCUGUUGCUUAUGUGCUCUGUGGAUGAGCUAUAGUUUUCCUUUUUAUGGGUUUUAGCUUCCCUUCUUAUGGGAUUAGUUGUCGAGGAUAGCAUCCUUUCAGUUUAUGUAUUAAACCUUAUAUUCUACC